AAUGAACGCUGGCGGUAUGCCUAACACAUGCAAGUCGAACGGCAGCACAGUAAGAGCUUGCUCUUACGGGUGGAGAGUGGCGGACGGUUGAGGUAUACAUCGGAAUCUACUUUUUCGUGGGUGAUAACGUAGGGAAACUUACGCUAAUACCGCAUACGACCUACGGGUGAAAGCAGGCGUUCUUCUGACCUUGCGCGAUUGUAUGAGCCGAUGUCGGAUUAGAUAGUUGGCGGGGCAAAGGCGCACCAAGGCGACGAUCCGUCGCUGGUCUGACAGGAUGAUCAGAUAGACUGGAUGUGAGACAGGGCCCAGACUCUGACGGGAAGCAGCGGUGGGGAAUAUUAGACAAGGGGGGAGUGCCGGAUCUAGCCAUACCGCGUGGGGGAAGAAGGCCCUCGGGUUGGAAAGUCCUGUUGUGGUGAAAGAAAAGCAGCAGGUUUAUACGCCGUGGUAAUGACGGUACCCAAAGAAUAAGCACCGGCUAACUUCGUG
rnacentral:rRNA from 1 species